rnacentral:rRNA from 1 species
UACGUAGGGGGCAAGCGUUGUCCGGAAUCACUGGGCGUAAAGGGUGCGUAGGCGGUUCGGCAAGUCGGCGGUGAAAUCUCCACGCUCAACGUGGAGGGGUCCGUCGAUACUGCCGUGACUCGAGUCCGGUAGGGGAGAAUGGAAUUCCCGGUGUAGCGGUGAAAUGCGUAGAUAUCUGGAGGAACACCGGUGGCGAAGGCGGCAUCCUGGACCGGUAUUGACGCUGAUGCGCGAAAGCCAGGGGAGCAAACGGG